rnacentral:rRNA from 1 species
GACGAACGCUGGCGGCGUGCUUAACACAUGCAAGUCGAACGGAAAGGCCCUGCUUUUGGGCGGUGCUCGAGUGGCGAACGGGUGAGUAACCUGUGAGUAGCCUGCACCUGUUAUUGGGGUAACCUCAGGACACUGGGGCUAAUAGCGGAUAGGUGUAUCUGCUGCAUGGUAGGGGUCGGCAAGUUUCGGCGGUUGGGGUUGGACUCGCGGCCUAUCAGCUUGUCGGUGGGGUAGUGGCUUACCAAGGCUUCGACGGGUGGCCGGGCUGAGAGGGGGAACGGCCACAUUGGGACGGAGAUGCGGCCCGGUCCACAAUGGGAGGCAGCAGUGGGGAAGAUUGCACAAUGGGCGGAGGCCUGAUGCAGCAACGCCGCGUGCGGGAUGAGGGCCAGCGGGUUGUAUACCGCUUUCGCCUGUGACGAAGAGAGAGUGACGGUAAUUGGUAAAGAAGCACCGGCUAACUACGUG